CCCAUACUGCCAGAGAUGUAUAAUAGCGGUAAGAAUGCUUGGUUCAAAUCCCAGUUCUCCUUCCUAGCUGUGUGGCCUCAGACAACUUACCUGAUAUCUCUGAAUCUCAGUUCUCUGAAUCUCUGAAAUGGGGAUCAUACCUGUACUUAUUCUUGUAGGAUUGUUGGGAAGAUUGAGUGACUUAAUGCACAUUCAAGAGUUUAGAACAGUGCCUGGCACCAAGUGUAGUCUCUGACUGUUAUAACCUUCUCUGAGCCUGUAAAAUGGGGUAACCUCACCUACUUCUGGGGUCAUUCUGAAGGACCAAAGAGCUAAUGGAAGUGAAGCACCUAGUCAUAUGCCUGGCACACGAGAGAUGCUCAAAAAUGGCUCAACUUGGACACCUGUAAAAUGGGCUCUGGAGCUGACAGGUAUAGACUGCUUUAAGCCAGCACCCAGGAAGAUCAUCCAACUGGAAAAGCAGUCAUCAGAGAACAGAGAAGCCUGAGCUCUUCAAAGAAGUCUAAGGUCAUGGAACCAAACAAGCUUCCUAAUUCAAUUCAAAUAUCUCUUCUCUGACCUGCACCACAAGUUCUCCCUUCACACUCGCUUUUCAUAUCCGAUAAUUCUGAAAAUGACAUGUAUCUCUCCUGUAAGCCUUUAAGUUCCAAGAGAUAAGAGGCUGCAUCUGUCUUGUUCGUCAGCACGUAUGGGGCCUUGCUUUGCAUGGUGGUUGCAUGCGCGUGCUUUUUUCGUGCUAAUUCAUUGAGCUCUUGGUGCAAUGCCAGUGCCCAGUAAAUAUUCACUGAAUGCAUGAAUGAAUCACAGAGUCUUCAGUAGUUAUCCAGGCCAUUCACCCACUACAUUCCUGAAUCCUUGCCUCAAAAUUCCUACCAAGUGUCUGCUAGUAUUUGCCAACAAAACAGCUCUAGUGACAAGGAGCUCUCUACUGCCCAAGGCUGCCUGUUUAUUUUUUGUGUAGUUCUGUUGGCUAGAAAGUUCUUCUUAAUAUGGAGCUGAAAUAUAUCUGCUUGAGGCUUCCAGUCAGUUUCUUGUUCUAUCCUUAUGAUCACAUAAAUCAAGCCUACGCCCUCUUUGUGACGACAACCUUUUAGACAUUUGAAGUUAGUUCUCACACCCACCUCUUCUCCAAGCUAAUCACAAAAUCAUUGAUGAGACGCAUAUUUGUUGAGUACCUACGAAAGGAAUAGGCUAGAGAACACAAAGAUGAAAAGAUAUAAUACCUGUCCUGAGGUCUCCAGUCUUGGGGAGCCAGAGAAAUUUAAGAGAGAAUGUGAUAAGUGCUAGGGAUGGUGGAGACACAGGGGAAAGAGAGCCCAAGCCCACUCAAGGAGACCCUUGAGGAAGGCUCCACAGAGGAGUGGGCUAUAGAAUAUGCUCCAAGCAGGCCAGGGAGGAGAGGAUGUUCCAAGAGGAAGGGAGAGCAUACGCAAAAAUCUGGCAAUAUAAGAGUCCAUGGCAUGGAAAGAGAACUUUAAGAAGUUCAUAUGGCUAGGAAGACCAGAAGUCCCAGCUUGCUCA
rnacentral:lncRNA from 1 species